rnacentral:sRNA from 1 species
GCUUCUUUUUCUUUACUCUCUCCCUCUCUCUAUCCUCUCAUAUCAUUCUUGAAUUACGUGGCCCGUUUUCUAUACUUUUCCCUCACUCUUCAACUCCAGU